rnacentral:misc_RNA from 1 species
GAUGAAGAACGCAGCGAAAUGCGAUAAGUAAUGUGAAUUGCAGAAUUCAGUCAAUCAUCGAAUCUUUGAACGCACAUUGCGCCCGCCAGUAUUCUGGCGGGCAUGCCUGUCCGAGCGUCAUUUCAACCCUCGAACCCCUCCGGGGGGUCGGCGUUGGGGACCUCGGGAGCCCCUAAGACGGGAUCCCGGCCCCGAAAUACAGUGGCGGUCUCGCCGCAGCCUCUCCUGCGCAGUAGUUUGCACAACUCGCACCGGGAGCGCGGCGCGUCCACGUCCGUAAAACACCCAACUUCUGAAAUGUUGACCUCGGAUCAGGUAGGAAUACCCGCUGAACUUAAGCAUAUCAAUAAGCGGAGGA